rnacentral:rRNA from 1 species
ACUCCUACGGGAGGCAGCAGUGGGGAAUAUUGCACAAUGGGCGCAAGCCUGAUGCAGCAACGCCGCGUGAGGGACGACGGCCUUCGGGUUGUAAACCUCUUUUAGUAGGGAAGAAGCGAAAGUGACGGUACCUGCAGAAAAAGCACCGGCUAACUACGUGCCAGCAGCCGCGGUAAUACGUAGGGUGCAAGCGUUAUCCGGAAUUAUUGGGCGUAAAGAGCUCGUAGGCGGUUUGUCGCGUCUGCUGUGAAAACUGGAGGCUCAACCUCCAGCCUGCAGUGGGUACGGGCAGACUAGAGUGCGGUAGGGGAGAUUGGAAUUCCUGGUGUAGCGGUGGAAUGCGCAGAUAUCAGGAGGAACACCGAUGGCGAAGGCAGAUCUCUGGGCCGUAACUGACGCUGAGGAGCGAAAGCAUGGGGAGCGAACAGGAUUAGAUACCCUGGUAGUCCAUGCCGUAAACGUUGGGAACUAGAUGUAGGGACCAUUCCACGGUUUCUGUGUCGCAGCUAACGCAUUAAGUUCCCCGCCUGGGGAGUACGGCCGCAAGGCUAAAACUCAAAGGAAUUGACGGGGGCCCGCACAAGCGGCGGAGCAUGCGGAUUAAUUCGAUGCAACGCGAAGAACCUUACCAAGGCUUGACAUAUACCGGAAAAGGCUAGAAAUAGUCUCCCCGCAAGGUCGGUAUACAGGUGGUGCAUGGUUGUCGUCAGCUCGUGUCGUGAGAUGUUGGGUUAAGUCCCGCAACGAGCGCAACCCUCGUUCUAUGUUGCCAGCACGUAAUGGUGGGAACUCAUAGGGGACUGCCGGGGUCAACUCGGA